GCGGCCGUGGUGAAACGGUUAUCAUGGAAGCCUGUGGAUAGCUUCAGUUGGGGGUUCGAUUCCCCCCGGCUGCC
rnacentral:tRNA from 1 species